GAUGAACGCUGGCGGCGUGCCUAAUACAUGCAAGUCGAGCGAACGGACGAGAAGCUUGCUUCUCUGAUGUUAGCGGCGGACGGGUGAGUAACACGUGGAUAACCUACCUAUAAGACUGGGAUCACUUCGGGAAACCGGAGCUAAUACCGGAUGAUAUUUUGAACCGCAUGGUUCAAUAGUGAAAGACGGUCUUGCUGUCACUUAUAGCUGGAUCCGCGCUGCAUUAGCUAGUUGGUAAGGUAACGGCUUACCAAGGCAACGAUGCAUAGCCGACCUGAGAGGGGGGUCGGCCACACUGGAACUGAGACACGGUCCAUGCUCCUACGGGAGGCAGCAGUAGGGAAUCUUCCGCAAUGGGCGGAAGCCUGACGGAGCAACGCCGCGUGAGUGAUGAAGGUCUUCGGAUCGUAAAACUCUGUUAUUAGGGAAGAACAUAUGUGUAAGUAGCUGUGCACAUCUUGACGGUACCUAAUCAGAAAGCCACGGCUAACUACGUG
rnacentral:rRNA from 1 species